rnacentral:rRNA from 1 species
CGCGUAGGCGGCCUGGUAAGUCUGGAAUGAAAGUCCUGCUUUUAAGGUGGGAAUUGCUUUGGAUACUGCUGGGCUUGAGUGCAGGAGAGGUAAGUGGAAUUCCCGGUGUAGCGGUGAAAUGCGUAGAGAUCGGGAGGAACACCAGUGGCGAAGGCGACUUACUGGACUGUAACUGACGCUGAGGCGCGAAAGUGUGGGGAGCAAACA